rnacentral:SRP_RNA from 1 species
GGACAGGUCUGCGCGGCAGGAAGCCGUGAACCAUGUCAGACGGGGAACCGAGCAGCAUUAAGCGGAAGCUCUUGGGCGACGCAGGUUGCCUGUCCGUC